CGUAGGGUGCAAGCGUUGUCCGGAAUUAUUGGGCGUAAAGAGCUCGUAGGCGGUCUGUCGCGUCGGCUGUGAAAAACUCGGGGGCUCAACCCCCGAGCCUGCAGUCGAUACGGGGCAGACUAGAGUGCUGUAGGGGGAGACUGGAAAUUCCUGGUGUAGCGGUGAAAAUGCGCAGAUAUCAGGAGGAACACCGGUGGCGAAGGCGGGUCUCUGGGCAGUAACUGACGCUGAGGAGCGAAAAGCGUGGGGGAGCGAAACAGGAUU
rnacentral:rRNA from 1 species